rnacentral:rRNA from 1 species
AUUGAACGCUGGCGGCAGGCCUAACACAUGCAAGUCGAGCGAGCGGCGGACGGGGGAGUAAUGUCUGGGAAACUGCCUGAUGGAGGGGGAGAACAACUGGAAACGGUAGCUAAUACCGCAUACCAUCAGGGGUGCCCAGAUGGGAUUAGCUAGUGGGGGGGGGAAUGGCUCACCUAGGCGCCGAUCCCUAGCUGGUCUGAGAGGAUGACCAGCCACACUGGAACUGAGACACGGUCCAGACUCCUACGGGAGGCAGCAGUGGGGAAUAUUGCACAAUGGGCGCAAGCCUGAUGCAGCCAUGCCGCGUGUGUGAAGAAGGCCUUCGGGUUGUAAAGCACUUUCAGCGGGGAGGCGUUACCCGCAGAAGAAGCACCGGCUAACUCCGUGCCAGCAGCCGCGGUAAUAC